rnacentral:lncRNA from 10 species
GCUGACGGUGCCUCACAGCCGCACAGGACCGAGGAUGCUGACGGUGCCUCACAGCCACACAGGACGCGAGGAUGCUGACGGUGCCUCACAGCCGCACAGGACCGAGGAUGCUGACGGUGCCUCACAGCCACACAGGACGCGAGGAUGCUGACGGUGCCUCACAGCCACACAGGACGCGAGGAUGCUGACGGUGCCUCACAGCCGCACAGGACGCGAGGAUGCUGACGGUGCCUCACAGCCACACAGGACGCGAGGAUGCUGACAGUGCCUCACAGCCGCACAGGACGCGAGGAUGCUGACAGUGCCUCACAGCCGCACAGGACGCGAGGAUGCUGACAGUGCCUCACAGCCGCACAGGACGCGAGGAUGCUGACGUGCCUCACAGCCGCACAGGACGCGAGGAUGCUGACAGUGCCUCACAGCCGCACAGGACGCGAGGAUGCUGACAGUGCCUCACAGCCGCACAGGACGCGAGGAUGCUGACAGUGCCUCACAGCCACACAGGACGCAAGGAUGCUGACGGUGCCUCACAGCUGAUGAGCUGCUGCUCCGAGCUUCUGGAGUGCCCGUGUUCCCCUGACCACCUUCCCUGCCACACCUCCCCACAAUCCAAUAACCAGAGUUAACUCCCAGCAAGCAGGGCCUUCUAACCUAGGCUACAACAUUGACUUCUACCUACAUUUCCUGAUGCUCUUUAGGAGAAUGUGAUCCCACACACUAAAUAUAUGGUUGUUUUGCCACCUU